rnacentral:tRNA from 1 species
UAGGUGGGGGCCGGAUAGAGGCAGCCGAUUGUUGCUUGGUGCGUUGUGAAUUUUCACUCAUCUAG